UGCUUUACACAUGCAAGUCGAGCGGCAGCGCGGGGGCAACCCUGGCGGCGAGCGGCGAACGGGUGAGUAAUGUAUCGGAACGUACCCAGUCGUGGGGGAUAACUAUCCGAAAGGAUAGCUAAUACCGCAUACGUCCUGAGGGAGAAAGCGGGGGACCGUAAGGCCUCGCGCGAUUGGAGCGGCCGAUAUCGGAUUAGCUAGUUGGUGAGGUAAAGGCUCACCAAGGCGACGAUCCGUAGCUGGUCUGAGAGGACGACCAGCCACACUGGAACUGAGACACGGUCCAGACUCCUACGGGAGGCAGCAGUGGGGAAUUUUGGACAAUGGGGGCAACCCUGAUCCUGCCAUUCCGCGUGAGUGAAGAAGGCCUUCGGGUUGUAAAGCUC
rnacentral:rRNA from 1 species